rnacentral:rRNA from 1 species
CAGUAGCCGCGGGAAUACGUAGGGUGCAAGCGUUAAUCGGAAUUACUGGGCGUAAAGCGUGCGCAGGCGGUUAUAUAAGACAGUCGUGAAAUCCCCGGGCUCAACCUGGGAACUGCGAUUGUGACUGUAUGCUAGAGUGUGUCAGAGGGGGGUAGAAUUCCACGUGUAGCAGUGAAAUGCGUAGAUAUGUGGAGGAAUACCGAUGGCGAAGGCAGCCCCCUGGGAUAACACUGACGCUCAUGCACGAAAGCGUGGGGAGCAAACAGGAUUAGAUACCCCGGUAGUCCCUGUCUCUUAUAAA